UAUUAAUUUGGUUUUGGUUAGAUGAAGAAUAAGCACUAAAACUAUCAUAAAAAUAUUAAAGAAUCUUCUUCUUUUUCAUUAGAGAUUAUUAAUUUAGUGGUGGGUUUUUCUAAAUAAAAAUGAAAGUUUGUUUAAGUUAGUGUUGAGGAGGGGCUAACAAUAGGUGCCAGCAGCUGCGGUUAUACCUAUUCUUAUCUUCAUGUUUGGGUAAAAUACAAGUUGUUAUUUUGUUAAAAAUUAGUUUAUUCCGGUUAAAUGGUUUAUAAACUUCUAAUGUUCGAAAAUCAAAUAAGUAAAUUGUCAAAGUUAUUAUAAAAACCGAGAUUAGGUACCUCGUUAUUAAUAAAUGUAAAUAAUAAAACCCAGAGGAGUAAGGAGCCUGAAACUCAAAAGACCUGGCGGUGGAUGUUCUUCCUACCAGAGGAGGGUGCCAAGUAAUAGAUAAUCCGCAUAAAAAUAAACCCUUUUAAUUAAAAUCAGUGUACGGCCGCUUACAGAUAAUUUUUAUAGAAAUAAGAAAUUAUCUUAAUACUCUAAUAAUUAAAACUAGUUAAGACAGGUCAAUGUGCUGUUGAUAAAGGGGGUUAAAGGUGCGCUAUUAUAACAUAGGAUAAAAGCUUUCAAGAUGUAAAUUUUGAAUCAAUUAAGAUUUGGUAGUAACGAAAAGUAAUAAAUAUGUACGCGUGAAUUAAGGUAAAGCUCUGUGUACACAUCGCCCGUCGUUCUUUUUGAAAGAAAAGAGAAGUCGUAACAUGGUAGCCUUAAUAGAAAUUGUGGCUUAAAAGGU
rnacentral:ncRNA from 1 species